AACACAUGCAAGUCGAACGCGUUUCCCGCAAGGGAGUACUAGUGGCGAACGGGUGAGUAACACGUGGGUGACCUACCUUCGAGUGGGGGAUAACGUCCCGAAAGGGACGCUAAUACCGCAUAACAUCCCGCCUUUGAACAGGCGGAGAUCAAAGCCGGGGAUCGUAAGACCUGGCGCUUGAUGAGGGGCCCGCGUCCGAUUAGCUAGUUGGUGAGGUAAUGGCUCACCAAGGCAACGAUCGGUAGCCGGCCUGAGAGGGCGGACGGCCACACUGGGACUGAGACACGGCCCAGACUCCUACGGGAGGCAGCAGUGGGGAAUUGUUCGCAAUGGGCGCAAGCCUGACGACGCAACGCCGCGUGGAGGAUGAAGGUCUUCGGAUUGUAAACUCCUGUUGCCUGGGACGAAUGGCUCCAACCUAAUACGUUGGAGUGUGACGGU
rnacentral:rRNA from 1 species